UAUGACCAUAUCUCGUUGAAAAACCAGUUCCCAUACAAUCACUGUAGUUAAGCAACAUUGAGCCUGGUCAUUACCUAGAUGGGUGACUGCUUGGAAAUACCAAGUGUUGUAA